rnacentral:rRNA from 1 species
GACGAACCGUGCGAACGUUAUUCGGAAUCACUGGGCUUAAAGCGCGUGUAGGCGGGGCGGUACGUCGGUGCCUGAAAGCCCCCGGCUCAACCGGGGAAGGGGGUCCGAAACGACCGGCCUGGAGGGACGUAGGGGGACCUGGAACUUCCGGUGGAGCGGUGAAAUGCGUUGAGAUCGGAAGGAACGCCCGUGGCGAAAGCGGGGUCCUGGACGUCUGCUGACGCUGAGACGCGAAAGCCAGGGGAGCGAACGGG